rnacentral:pre_miRNA from 1 species
AAUGUAGUGGAAACUAUCGUUGGAUCGAGAAAUGAACGUUCGAGAUUCGGCCACGUCACCAUGAGUUAAAAUUUAACUCUCUGAUUUACUCAUGAGUUAAAAUUUUAACAGGGAGUUAAAGUUUAACUUAUAGUGACGUGAACGAAACUCGGACGUCCAUUUCUCGAUCCAAUGGUAGUUUCCAAGUU